rnacentral:rRNA from 1 species
UACGGGAGGCAGCAGUGGGGAAUAUUGCACAAUGGGCGAAAGCCUGAUGCAGCUAUGCCGCGUGUAUGAAGAAGGCCUUAGGGUUGUAAAGUACUUUCAUCGGGGAGGAAAAAACAAAACUAAUAAUUUUAUUUCUUGACGUUACCCGAAAAAGAAGCACCGGCUAACUCCGUGCCAGCAGCCGCGGUAAUACGGAGGGUGCUAGCGUUAAUCAGAAUUACUGGGCGUAAAGAGCACGUAGGUGGUUUUUUUAAGUCAGAUGUGAAAUCCCUGGGCUUAACCUAGGAACUGCAUUUUGAAACUGAAAUACUAGAGUAUCGUAGAGGGAGGUAGAAUUCUAGGUGUAGCGGUUGAAAUGCGUAGAUAUCUGGAGGAAUACCUGUGGCGAAAGCGGCCUCCUAAACGAAUACUGACACUGAGGUGCGAAAGCGUGGGGAGCAAACAGGGAUUAGAUACC